GCGGUAGUAUUCCCCCAGGCUACGAACCUGUCGUCAAAAGGAUAAUUGGAGUAUGGAGGUUCGAGUCCUCUCUAUCGCA
rnacentral:tRNA from 1 species